AUACAGCCGUCUGGAGAGCCGCCACGCCAUGUGGCGCACCGAAGGAGCAAACCCGCUGCGGGUGCAGCGGGUGAAUCUCUCAGGUACCGAGGACAGGGGGAGCGGC
rfam:Variovorax sp. Root473 contig_3, whole genome shotgun sequence.